AAUCGACUCACCGGGAGGUCCUGCUGGACCUGGUGGACCUUCGAUGAUUCCAGUUGGGAACUGAUCGCCAUUUAACUUUGUCGUUAAUCCCCGAUCUCCCUUGUCACCCCUGUCACCCUGAGGAAGACGAGGAAAAGAAGAAUUUACUCGCAGACUUUCAUCUCAACUACAUCGUUACUUGGACUCCGUUCAAUAUUUUUCCAGCUAGAAACGAGUUCUUUUUUUCUAUCCUCGAACCAACCUUGGGUCCGGAAGCUCCUGGAGGUCCUGUAGGACCGAUCGGUCCAAUCGGUCCCUGAAUACCUUUUUCACCCGGUGGACCAACUUCGCCCG